GGGGGAGGUUUUUUGCGCCCAGGGAAUUUCCUUCUCUUUUAAAAGGACGGAAUGGACGGGGAAGGUGGUGGGCCAGUCCAUAUCAAUCUGAGAAGUGCCAGCCAUAUAAUGUCUCCCAUCUCAGCAAGGCUAAUAAUAUAAACUUCUAGAUUUUGCAGGUUAAUUCAAAAUAAACAAUCAAGUAAAAUCUAACACCAAGGUAAGAAACAAUUCAAUUCUAUACCCACAAUUUCCAAUAGGCCCUCCCUCACAUUUGUUUUAUUUACUUUCUGGGGAGGCUGCAGUUUGGAAGAUGUCAAGAAGAAGAUAUCAAGAUGCACCUUGGAAGAUGUCAAGAAGAAGCAAUUGAAGAUGGAUUCAAUCUUUCACCCACCCUGAGAUGUGAGACGGAGCGAAGAAAACCAGUUCAGCGAGAAAUAAUGUGGUCUCUAUAGGAAAAAGCUCUAUUUGGAACCGGUCAAGAAAGAAGCUGCUGCCAUUCCUGCCAAGCACCGGCAGGUGUUACUAACAAACUGUAAUACUAAGAGACUCCAUACUGUGCAUGUAAUGUUAAUUUUAUGAAUAAUAAAUAAAAUGUGUUUUAAAAAAA